GACCCCAGCUAGGGCGGGGGCCGAGGCGGCGGCGGUGAGUCGCACCUUCCCGGCGUGGUGACACCUGAGGAGUAGGCCUCUUGACUCGCCAGCAGUUUGUGCGCGGGCGCUGCGCUCCCGGGUCGGGGCUCUCACCCCAGUCCCCUGCCGUGAGCAGCCUCUGACUUCCCGGUGUGAGCCGAGGCUGGACCCGGGCGCUGCCCCAGAGCCACGCGUUCUCUCGGUGUUCCGCCACCCCAGCUCAGCACAGGACCUGGCACACGAUAGACAAUAUGAAUAGGCAAAAGAAAGCCUUCUUGGGGUUUUUGUGGCAAGCAGCGGUACCCUGCAACUGGAUGAGAAGAAAGUAGGGGAAUUCCCCCUGCCUUUCCCCUCCUGGCAAUGAAGGACCUCUGCCCUGCGACAGUCCUCUGUCCCACCUCAGAUGACUGUAUGGGACGAGGAAGGAAACCUCAGAGAACACCCCCGAGGAUUCUCCCUCAAGCAGUUUCUGUCGCAGGAACUGGCGCCAAAAAAAAG
rnacentral:lncRNA from 1 species